UUGGAGGGCAAGUCUGGUGCCAGCAGCCGCGGUAAUUCCAGCUCCAAUAGCGUAUAUUAAAGUUGUUGCAGUUAAAAAGCUCGUAGUUGAAUUUCGGGGUUAGUAGGUUGGUCAUGCCUCUGGUAUGUACUGGUCUCACUGAUUCCUCCUUCCUGAUGAACCGUAAUGCCAUUAAUUUGGUGUUGCGGGGAAUUUGGACUGUUACUUUGAAAAAAUUAGAGUGUUUAAAGCAAGCUAACGCUUGAAUACAUUAGCAUGGAAUAAUGAAAUAGGACGUUCGAUCCUAUUUUGUUGGUUUCUAGGAUUGACGUAAUGAUUAAUAGGGAUAGUUGGGGGCAUUAGUAUUCAAUUGUCAGAGGUGAAAUUCUUGGAUUUAUUGAAGACUAACUACUGCGAAAGCAUUUGCCAAGGAUGUGUUCAUUAAUCAAGAACGAAAGUUAGGGGAUCGAAGACGAUCAGAUACCGUCGUAGUCUUAACCAUAAACUAUGCCGACUAGGGAUCGGAUGAUGUUAAUUUUUUAAUGACUCAUUCGGCGCCUUACGGGAAAC
rnacentral:rRNA from 1 species